rnacentral:rRNA from 1 species
GACGAACCACACGAACGUUAUUCGGAAUUACUGGGCUUAAAGGGUGCGUAGGCGGCGCAGAAAGUUGGGUGUGAAAUCCCUCGGCUCAACCGAGGAACUGCGCCCAAAACUACUGUGCUCGAGGGAGAUAGAGGUGAGCGGAACUUAGGGUGGAGCGGUGAAAUGCGUUGAUAUCCUAAGGAACACCGGUGGCGAAAGCGGCUCACUGGAUCUCUUCUGACGCUGAGGCACGAAAGCUAGGGUAGCAAACGGG